rnacentral:siRNA from 1 species
UGAGCUUUUUCUACCCAGUCCGUC